rnacentral:rRNA from 1 species
UACAGAGGUCUCAAGCGUUGUUCGGAUUCAUUGGGCGUAAAGGGUGCGUAGGCGGCGCGGUAAGUCGGGUGUGAAAUCUUGGAGCUUAACUCCGAAACUGCAUUCGAUACUGCCGUGCUUGAGGACUGGAGAGGAGACUGGAAUUUACGGUGUAGCGGUGAAAUGCGUAGAUAUCGUAAGGAAGACCAGUGGCGAAGGCGGGUCUCUGGACAGUUCCUGACGCUGAGGCACGAAGGCUAGGGGAGCGAACGGG